rnacentral:lncRNA from 1 species
AAUGUUGUGUACUUGAUAUAGUGUGAAUUUACAUACACAUGUACAUAUUGGUCAUUUUGAUAUCUAUACAUUAUUGUUUUUACAUAUCUUUAGAUUUAGUUGAUAGUCAUGAUCUCUAGUUACUAUGUAUGUGUUUUAUUUUGUGUAAAUAAACUGCUUCUCUAGAACAGUAAGCACAAGUUCUGUCUAUGUGUAUAUAAAGAGUUGUGUCCCUUUUUACAGUAAACAUUUUAUUAUAUUUCGUAUACCAUCACUGUUCUUACUAGGUUAUUCAUUCAUAUGAUAUCCCUGAUAUCCCUGAUUUUCUAAGUAUUUGAAUUUUGGCAGUAGGAAAAUGUUUAGAAAAAAUGUUGUGUUUAAAAAGAAAAGAAAGCUAGAUAGGCACCAGCAUUAUAUGCAACCCCACAUCAAAGUUGGGAAGUUGAACUAUUAGGAUAACAAGCAGGAUAAGUUCUUUAAAGUUUAAGUAAGAAGGUUAGACACAAAAUAUAUCUACAGUGUUGUUUAUUUUAGGGGGGUACUAAAGUUCACAGUACAAAAAAGUACUAAUGGUACAAAAUAUUAUAUUUUAAAAUAGGUUGUUUUAUCGUUUAACAUAUCAGUUUUAUUCAUUUCCUUGGUCACUGCCUUGUGUAAAACUUGUUUCAUUGUUUAGCACACAAUGCUGAAUUAGUAUUGUCCAGAUAAUUGGUAUUCUGUAAUUUUCAUGAUCUGGGGUACAAUUUAGAAGGUCAUUUGAAGGUUACUUACUUGUGAAUUACAAUCAAUGUUGUUGUUGUAUCAUUUUGUAAAUUUUUGUACAUUUAUCAUAGAACAUUUUGUAAAAUAUUUAAUUUUCAUUUAUGUAUUCUUAAAGAACAAUUCAUAUUCAUUGUAUAGCAUGCUGAGAACAAACUCUUAGGAUAGAAUUAACUUUUAGUAUUUUUUUUGUACAGAAAUUGAAAAGAAAGCAUUUUCUUGUAAAAACCAUGUUUUUGUUUAAAAGUAGGAAUGGUAAUUAGCCAAAAAAUAAUUAAUGUUUUAUCUAUCUGAAAAUGAGAUUACUUUGCAUGAACAAAUUCAUCAAUCUUAUAUAAAAAAAAAAUAUACAACUUUUAUUUACUCAAUAACUGACUUAUAAAUAUUAAAGUCUCCUUCAUUUUAUCGUAGUGUCAUAAACAAAACAAAAUAAUGAUUUUACAAAUUGAUAUAAUCAUUAUUAAUUUAAGAAAAAGACUUUAAAAAUAGAACAGAGCUUAUCUUGUAUAAAUAGAUCACAUGCUAUUUAACAAUAGAGUAGCACUUGUCCAUGAACAAAAAUCUCCUUUUCAAACAAUUGUUUGAAGUUUUGUUUUUAUCAUAAUAAGAGUAUAGUAAAUGUAUUUACACAUAGUAUUAUUUGCUGAUCUGUACUUUUACUAUACACACUUUUAUAUCCAUAUAAAAUUACAAGAUCUGAAUGUAAAUUUUGAAAUAUUUUGCUGUAAUUUUUUUUACAAUUUAGUCUUGUUUUUUCAUGUAAUCUUGUAAGACUUUUCAUCAGAUAUUGUAUUAAUAAAA